GGCACCAGGCUCUCCUCCUUUCUUGCUCUCUUCUGCAGAACAGUUCUCCAAACUCUGGGAACAAGACUAAGCCACUAGAUAGAGCCCGCUCCGUGCCACAGGAUAUUUUUAGAGAGAGAGCGCAGGUCUCUCUCUGGGCACGAUCUGCCUUACUGACAAGCUGAGGUUUCAUAGCAGCUCAUCCAAGUGUGCAGAUCACCUGCAAGCCCAGGGAGAGAUGCAGACUGUCUUCGAGCACUUUUCAAGCACUCCUGGAGCCACAGCUGAUUAGUGAGUUCUGCAGAACCCUCCUUGUGAAUUAAUUUUUUGCACUUCUUCCUCACUCAAUGCAAA
rnacentral:lncRNA from 1 species